rnacentral:rRNA from 1 species
GAUGAACGCUGGCGGUAUGCUUAACACAUGCCAGUCGAACGGACUCUUCGGAGUUAGUGGCGGACGGGUGAGUAACGCGUGAGAAUCUGGCUUUGGGUUCGGGACAACCACUGGAAACGGUGGCUAAUACCGGAUGUGCCGAGAGGUAAAAGAGAAAUUGCCUGAAGAUGAGCUCGCGUCUGAUUAGCUAGUUGGUGAGGUAAAGGCUCACCAAGGCAGCGAUCAGUAGCUGGUCUGAGAGGAUGACCAGCCACACUGGGACUGAGACACGGCCCAGACUCCUACGGGAGGCAGCAGUGGGGAAUUUUCCGCAAUGGGCGAAAGCCUGACGGAGCAGUACCGCGUGAGGGAAGAAGGCUCUUGGGUUGUAAACCUCUUUUCUUAGGGAAGAACAAAAUGACGGUACCUAAGGAAUCAGCAUCGGCUAACUCCGUG